rnacentral:rRNA from 1 species
UACGUAGGGGGCGAGCGUUGUCCGGAAUUACUGGGCGUAAAGGGUGCGUAGGCGGUCUGGUAAGUUGGAUGUGAAAUACCCGGGCUUAACUUGGGUGCUGCAUCCAAUACUGUCGGACUUGAGUGCAGGAGAGGAAAGCGGAAUUCCUAGUGUAGCGGUGAAAUGCGUAGAUAUUAGGAGGAACACCAGUGGCGAAGGCGGCUUUCUGGACUGUAACUGACGCUGAGGCACGAAAGCGUGGGGAGCAAAC